AAAGAAAAGGGGGCAGUUUGUUAAAGUAUUCCUAAAAAAAUAAAUUCUGUUAGCUAACAAAUUGUUAAAGUUUUUACAGGAUGCACCAUCGUUGAUUGAGGAUAACAAGCUCUUUUGAGCUCGUUAUACCUUUCAAGAUCAAAAUUCCGAACCUUCAUGAGUCGUUUUUGCUUAGCAACGAACCGGCUCUGAUAAAAUCCUUCGAAAGAAGGCUCUUUCGCAGUCCUUAGGAAGAAAGUAUAACCAGCCAUGCAGUAAAAUGAUGUAACAUAGAAGCAAAUUGGUUCCAUGACAUCCCAGGAUAGUUCCCAAAAUGUCAAUCUCAUGAAUGCUGCUGUUUGAAUCACAAAGUAGCCCAGCCCAGCCCAUAGUUCUCUACGCACCAAUGACUCUGCUUUUCUGUCAAUGGCUGUUUUUUCCUCUUCCAUCUUGUUGAACUCCUCCAUCAUUUGUGGAUCCUUUGGGAUCGUCGUCGCGGGGAUUGGCAGUAGGCUUUGUAGAGUUUUCACUACCUGUAAACAAAACGUUUGGGUAAAACGAACACUCCACUUGAUAAUACUCGUCAUUUGACACUGCUUCGAAUAAACAUAUAGCUCACAUAUGUUUCCAUAAAAAUAUUUUUGCAACUAUAGAUAGGCCUAGCUAUGGUUUUAUAGCGCCCCCCUAAAUUGUACUCUAUAAUUGACAUAUGGGACUUCUCUAGGACUACGCAAACUAAUCCUCACCAAACUAAUUUCAUUAUUUUCCUAAAGGAGUUCUCUAACGUCAAGCAUUAGAAAAACUAGUGCCCAAUUUGAAAGGGGAAACUAUGAAUAGAUAACAACUAUUUCUUUUCCCCCCUUUUCAUACUCCUCUCGUCCUAACCCAACUCAACUCAUAGUUUAAAGGUAUUUUUGAUACUUUAUUCGUAUUUAAUAUCAUCCUCCAAAGAAUUUUGGUGAACUAUCUCAAGGAAAUUUUGGGUCUUUGAAAAUGAUCCGAAUUGGUCCACUCCAUUAUAAAAGUCACCAUCUCGUUUUAGAGAUCUGGGAGAGACUUUGUUUCAUUUUCCUGUCUGAUCAGGCCUGAGGAACACAACGUUUCCCAGAACAAGCACAGUUCCAGAAUCAUCUAGAAUCUUCGCCAAUUCGAUGCCUGAAUCAUUACUCGAACUAAUUCCAGAGCAGAUCUGAACAAAUUCCGGGUACGAAACACAAUUCUUUUCAGUUUGCUUUAGCCUCAGUUUCACCAUCUCCAAUUGUGAUACUUUGAACAGCUUCUUCGCAUCCGCCACCGUCAAGUUCCCCUCCGUCGUCACCUCCGGUUCCGGUUCAGGCCGCAUCUCUAGCGGCGGCAGGAAUCCAUCGAGUUUGAUCCUGCUUUUGUUAACAUCCAUUUCACGGAUUUUCUCGAUGAGACUUUCUCCGGUAGGUAGUGACCGGAGAUCCGGAGAGGUGGCCGGCGAUGUGCCAAUGAGUCGACGAUGGAUGAAUCGCCGGAUAAUUCCAUUAUUUCCGGGAUCCGGAGCGAUUUUGUCAUCAGGAUGAGGAGGUACCAGCUUUCUGGGUGACAUGGAUGAUGAAGAUAUACGAGAAGCAGAAAUGGAAAAACCGGUGGUUUUGUAUACAUUGGAAAGACGCUGAGCUAGAGUUUUUUUGAACGCCAUUGAUAAUAACGAAAGAGAGAGAAAUAAAUGGUAGAUUUUGGUUAGGG
rnacentral:misc_RNA from 1 species